rnacentral:lncRNA from 1 species
GAAAGGUACAACUCAAAAGCCCUACUAUAAUUGAACUAGAAUAAAUGAUAGACACAUGGAACUGGUUCUUUUAUCUGGUUCAUGUAGCUUCAGGUUCACAUUUUUGAAUCACAUAGGAAUUACUUGCAAAAUAUCUUGUUAUUUUGCUCUCAAUUCUUGCUUAACUUCAGCGUAUAUGCGGCACAAGUAAAAGAGAACAUCACUGAUAUAUAUAGAGUUGGUAAGAUUAGGAUUAACUAGAAACUUGAUGCUUCACUUUUCCUUGGUGGAAGAGUUCUAGUUAACUUCAAUAUCUAAUUCUUUCCUUAUGUAGGAUAGAGUUCUCUUCAAGUAAGGAGUCAUGCUCCUUUUCGAUUAUGCAAGAUUUUUGUUUAGGGAUUAUCAGAUAUAGCCACUUAUACGUAUCCCUUGCACGUGCAUGCAUUUUGCUUAAAUCUGACCGUGCCCUGUGUACACCGUUCACGGACCUAUUUCAUUCAUGUGUUCCUUUGACAAUCAUCAAAACCAAAAUAACUCGGGCCAACAAUAUGGCUUUAGGCCCUCGUUAGGCAAGUAGAGCUCUUUUGCUGCUCUCUCAAUAGUCUUCUUUCCUGCCUUUGGAGUUGAUGAAAUGGACAAUUCACACAGAGCUAGUUAGUGGGUAAGAUCAAAUAGAUCUCUUAUCUGAAAGCUAACCUUUUUGCUGUGGCAUGCUCCUCAGAUUUACGGAUUCGCUGGGGCCUUAGGUUCUACUUAGUUUCGCAAGCCUAAAGCUAAGAUCAAAGGCGAGGUAGGAAAUGCCCCGCACGAACUAUCUAAUCAAGUUUUCUUUUACCUAUCACAAGCAGUGGCAAAGCCGUGUUUGUUCGUUGCAUUUCAAGCACCUUCCUUCACUCGAAUGACAUGGUUAUGGGGUUUUACAUGUGGAUCAAAGUUUUUUUCUACUUUUUUUGUUGGAGAAGCUUUGAGUGGUUUGAGAAGCUGAAGAAUGAGACUUUAGCAGAGUUAACAGCUCGAUUGGUUAAUUGAGAGCGAGAAAUACCAAGCGAUUUGAUGGCUUGAGCCUUGAAUUGAUAGAGAGAAACAUAGAGUAAAAGCAAUACUUAUUGGAGACAAGAUUCAAUUGGUCUAGAAGUUGAGAGAAAUUUGUGAUAAGAAAGAGCGUACCAUUAUUUUAUUCGACCUUGAUACGACGUGAAAUACCUUAUAAUGUAACAGAAUGUCCUAAACCACAGUGUAACUCCAAAACUGUUGUCAAUCGAUUUUGAAGCUCUAAAACCUCUGAUUUAGGUGACAUUAUAAUAUAUUUCUAAUGAGGGUUAACGGAGACAUGGGAUAACAGAAAGAUCAGUUGAAUGCCACUACCUAAGAGUCGCUCCGAUAUAUCAAGCCUUACCAAUUAAAGAUUAAUUGAUCGAGUCAAAUGAUAAAGACACUAAUUAAUAAUAACUAAACUUUGCAAUUACCAAAUCCUAAUGUGAUCAAACAUGGAAAAGAUGUAUAAUUGAUGGUGCAUGAAAUUCACAAACUUACAGAAAGUCAUGAAAUUCACAAACUUACAGAAAGUUUCUUGCCAAAUUACCAACAUCACAAAGAAAAGGGAUUUAAAACCACUCAGAGUUGCAUCGUCUCUGGAUAACAAUCCAUGAGGACUUACAGAGACGUGCAAUGUUAUUUAGUGUCUUGCAUGAAGAAUAAAUUUCUCUUGUUUUUACUAAGCUUUCCAUCUAAGCAAUACUUAUGUAAAGAGAUUUCAAGUGUCUCAUCUCACAUCUCACUUAUGAGAGAAGCAGUAGCAUUAGUUUCAACUGAACUGUCCCAAACACCACCAGAGACCCCAAAGUUGAGAUUAUAUUUGGGCUGCUUGUUGGGGGAAAACAAUCCAAAAUGUUUCUCCAGUUCAGGGUUCUUGUUGUUCUCAUCAAACAUGGCAAAUAUAUAGGUCUCAAUAGGUCCAGGCUUUCUUGGGCUACCCUCUUUAGCGUGUUGAAUUAAGUUCCUCAAGUAAGUUGCUGCAUUGUCAUAUGUAGCUCCAAAUGCACCAGCAGAUGGCCAGCCACUCUCGGACACAACAAUCCCUACAGAUGCCCCUCCUGAUCGCUCGAGGGCAGCAUACACAGAAUCCAGCAUUGCAUCAAAUAAGUUCCUAUAUUGGCGUGAACCAUCUUGUACUACCACAUUUGGUGCUGUAAAAAGAGAAUAGGGGAGAGAAAUCUGCCCUGGAUUACCAGAAUAGCUGAAAUAGGGGUAAAUGUUAACGAGUAAAGGUGCACGUGUGUCCCUUAAGAACCCAACAAUUGGAUCAGUAAACCACCUAGCAUCGUUCCUAAACGAACCCUGUGAUGGUGGAUAAGAGUUUCCAAUCAAGGUCAUGUCUACAGAAGUUGAGACCUUGAUGUUGUUUCCUAAACCAGCUUCACCAAUUGCUUUGUAAAUAUUUACCAUGGCAGGAGUAAGAAAUGAGGUAAGGUAAGAUGUGCCUGUGACAGGGCUGAUUUCAUUCCCAACAGCAAUAUACUUAAUCUUAACAUCUGGCCAGAAAUCUUUAACAUUCUUUUGUACCCACCAUCUUGCAUGUUCCAUUCCGGAAGCAAUGUGCUUGACAUCUGAAUUGGGAAGUCCUAACAUAACUUCAAUGUUUGAGCCUUUUAAUGCUUGUAAAGCUCCAUGAUUUGGAUCAUAAAGCCUCAGUCUUCCUAUGUUUCUUGACUUGUAGAGCUGUAUAACUUCCCAAUGAUUUGGCAAGUUGUUGCCUAGCAUUCCAUAGCAAACACCUAUUGAUUGAGCCCCUGCUCAAUAAGAAUUAGAAUUAGUGUUAGAAACUAAAUCAAUUAUGUAAUUCUUGAAAAGUUAAAAACUUACAGUAGACAUGGUAGGUCCCUCCACUAGGGGAUGAUGUAACCAUUUUAAUUUAUGUGACAUAAUUUAAUUCGGCACAAAGUUUAAGAAAAAGAAGAAUGUGAAAAUUGUGUUAUUAAACAUGCUAUAAUAUUUGUACAGACUAUAAGAUAUUUGGAACUUGUAGUCUAAUAUGUUCCAUAAUAUUUGUGAUGUUAUAAAAGGUUGAGAAUAAAAAGUUUAAAGUUAAAAUAUUUUUAAAUAUCAAAUAUGUCAUUCUCUUUGGAAGAAACUAACAGAAAGUGUGUCACAUAAAUUAGAACAGAGGGAAUAUGUGUUAUGUGUUAAUACGAACCUAAUAGCUUUGACUCAGGUCGGUGUAUGUGUUAAAAGAUUUACUAUACAACUAAUAGACGUCUAGCCAAUAAAUCAAAUGGACACUAGUCUAAACUCAUAAAUUUCAAAUUUUAGAUUCACCGCCCUCCCCUCAAAUUUGAAAAGCUUGUGAGUGAGUGUUACCCGAAAAAAGAGCAAAUAACUAUCGCUAAAUGAAUAUAGUGCAAGUAAAUUUGAGAAAAAAACACAAGCAAUUUGAUAAGAAAAAUAAGCAAAUAACUAUCAACUAAAUUAAGAUUUUGCACCAACAAAAUUAUAAGACAAUAUUUUUGGCUCGGAAGUUCAAAUAUUUGACCAGAAACCUGCUAUCUCAAUGGUGCUGGCAACAAGUAGUAAUCCUAGCAGUGUGAUAGCAGCCAUUUGAGGAGUAUUAUGUUUAUCUGAGGUAGACAUGAUGAGAAGACUUGUUGGAAGAAUUAAGAUGAACAAUGAGCUAUUUAUAUUGAGAUAGCCUUGUGUAAAUGUAAAUAUUCGAGUGGAAUAUUAUUGGAGUAUUUGUUAUUCGUAGGCUAAUGAAGUUAAGAGCCGCCCCGGCUGACCUGGCUAUUAACAUGUCAACUUGAUCAUUUUGUGGAAAAAAGAAAAUGAGUUUGAUGAUGUACAAGUUUUAUAUUUUCUCCAAAGGUGCCGUACUAUCUUGACUUUACAAAAGAAAUUAUAGCUAGUUACUUUCUUUCAUCCUGCACAACCAGAUGAAUAGCUGCUUAAUCAUCGUUACAAAUAAUAAAAUCUUCUGUAGUAUCUCCAUGUUUGUGGUAAAUACUUAGCGAUAUCUAUUGUUUAUAUUAAAUCAAGUAAUUUAAUAUUUUCAAUUCAAAUUUAAAAUAAAAUUCAUAUCAUUUAACUAUAAGUAAGUAAGUAAUAAAUAUUGGUCGUAUUUUGAAUUCCCUUAAAAGUAGUUGAGAGAUUUGAAAGUUCUCUAAAACUUUCAUUUGAGUAUACAAUAGAAGAUUGUAGAGUGGCUCGCUGUAUCUUAAGAGUAAGAUGUCAUUUUGCUAUUGCACCAGAGCAAUGAAUGAGAAUCUACUUUGAAGACAACGCCUUCCAUAAGAGUGUCUCGAACCGUUUUUUUUUUUCCUAUUUAAAACUCUAUCUUAUCUUUUAUUAUUAACGGUACAUCUUUUAUUGUAUCUUAAGUGCUCCAUAUCUAAUAUUUUUAAAUUAUAUGAAUUGAUUUAAUGAAAAUUUUCUAACUUCUUACUGCAUUUAUUGAGGAUACUGGAUUCUCAUGAAGACUAACCGAUCAUUUGGUAAAAUAGUGAGAUAAAUAAGGAUAUUCUAUGUGAGUGGCUAUGGGAUUAGCUAUUCCAUUCCACCUUCUACAUGUGAUAGUUGAUUUUACUAUUUUAGUGUAAAAUUUAUUCUGAAAUUAGCUAAUACUUAUAAUUAAACACAAGAUAAAUGCAAUCUCAAAUUCUAUCCCGAAAUUAUUAUUAUUAUUUCUUGUACCAAACGACCCCUUAGUGAAUAUGGCAUGCAGACUCUGAAAAGGCCAAUGAAUCAGUAACCGGAUUCAUUGUCUUCUUUAGAGGAAAAUUUUAUGAUUUGCUGUACCUGUUUAAUUUCUUAAUAUUAGUUGAGAUGUAAAUUAGGAGAUAAACUUAGAAAUAUCCCAUAUCUGGAAGCUCAGAACCUAGCAGCCCCAAGUUGCAGCAAAGUAUUGGAAGAGUUUUGGCACUUACGUGCCAAUCGAGAGUCCUAAAAUUCAUUAUUUUAAUGGCGGCUUUUAUUUGAUCGGUCUUAUUUUACUGGCGGCUCUACUGAGGAGGCAGCUAAGAUGAUGGACUUUGAAGUUAUUAUUAUAAUAAUGAUAUCUUGAUAGUGUUUUGUCAACUAACUAUAAUUAAAGAAAGCUACUUGCCGAUAAUGGACCAUUUGGAAUUUCGGAUGGGAUAUUUUAUGUUUUUGUGACCAAAAGAUAUAAGGGCAAAAUAGUCAAAUUUGCCCCUUUGUUAAUUCAAAUUGAGUAACUAUUACAAACACUUGGUAUAAUAUUUUUCCAUUUAGCAAAAAGUUUUGCCCUUGCCCCCCAAGGGAGCUCCAAUCUUGGAUGGCAAAUGGGAUAGUGCAGGGCGGGCCGGGACAGGGCAAGCUUUGACCCGCUAAGAUUUUGACCUGCGUUGUCCUGCCCCAUUUAGCUUUUUUUCAAAAUUUUGUCAUGCCCUGCCCCGCCUUGCCCUAUUUAAGUUUUUUUUUUAUCCUAUCCCUCUUUCUUUUUUUGUCCCACUAUCCACAGUAACAACCCCUUAAUCUUUAAAAAUAACAGCUUCUCUGAAUUUUCUUUCUUACAGUGAAUAGGGUCUUUUUUAGAAGAGUGUCAUCGUUAUUUAUAGAUGUAAGAAACUGGAACAAAUUUGUAGUUAAAUCUUCUCUGCCAUUUUUAUUUCUUCAUCUUACUUAUGAAUAGCAUGAUAAACUAGAAAUAAAAACUUAAUCCCUCACAACUUUUUAGCUACACUAGCAUCUUGUUCUAGAUAUAUACAAUUAAGUUGUGAUGAUUGAAACUCUAGCAUUUUGAUUUGAUUUUGGUUUAAUUUCUAAAAUUAUUGGUCUAAAAAUAUGAAGAUAUAUUAAAAGUGUUUGAAUUAAUUUUAAAGUAAUGAAACAUUAACCAAGUCAUAACCAUACAUAACGGUAGAAAAAUUUAAGCAACUAAAUCAAAUGGUAAUAGCCCAUGUAUGCUAUACACAGGCAUCUCGUUAAACGGCCCAGUUUUUAGCCGGCAAACCAAACCCACACAUGCCAUGCCCUUUAAAGUUCUUCAAAAUUUAAGUUUUACCCUCUCCUGCCCCGCCUCGCCCCAUUUUAAAAUUCCCCUGCCCUGCCCCGUUUAGAGUUUUCCCUGCCCCACUCUGCACUUGCUCUGCCCCAUUGCCAUUCCUAAUCUUGGAAAAACUUUUUUAAUCAUAAUCAAAAGUUGAGGGGGUAAAUUUGGACUUUUUGUUAAAGAAUUUGUACAAGAACCAUUCUUUUGUUAUUUGAGAUCUAUUAAUGGAAACGAUAAAUACAAGAUGAUUUCCUGUCACGAUUCAAAAUUCCUCCGAAGGAGUCGUGAUGGCACCUAGUCUCCAAAACUAGGUAAGCCUAACACAUACCGAAAUGAUAACAAAUUCUACUAAACAACUGUUGAACAUGAACCCGAAAUUUCUAAAUAAACCAAUAGUCUCAACAUGAUACAAUAUCCCAAAAUUGACAGUACAAGUCAUAAGCCUUUCUAGGAGUAAUUAUACAUAACGAAUACAUCAUUGUUCCGGAUUAAUAGGAAAUAAUGAAAAUAAUUACAAUAGAAGGUGACUUCGGAACCUGCGAACAUCUAGCAAGUGUACCUUGAAGUCUCCAUCCGCACAAGCAUGAAUCUCAAAACCAACUCGAUCCGAAGUACCUGGUUCAGCACAAAAUGUGCAGAAGCGUAGCAUGAAUACACCACAGUGGUACCCAGUAAGUAUCAAGCCUAACCUCGAUAAAGUAGUGACGAGGCUAGGUCAAGACACCUACUGAACAUGUAAACCUGUGUAGGAUAUGACAUAAAGCUAAUAAGGAAGGAAUAUCAAUGUAAUGCCAAUAGCAGAAAGAAUCGAGAUUACAAACAGUAGUAAAGAUAAAGGGGACACGAAUAGCAACGAGAAAUAACCAAGUAAUUAAGCAGCAACAUAGUCGGGGUACUGAUAUAGUAUAAAUGUGCUCAAGUAGGGAAAACGAUGUCAACUCAACCGAUAAAAUCAUUUCUAAUACACAAUUUCAACAAUCUCACUUCUCGUAAUCUCAUAUCAUAAAUCACAACUUCUAAUCCUUUGAUACACAUGGCACCUUGUACCCAUAUUUUCCAUCUCACUUCGCACGGCAAAAUUCAUGUGCUACUCGGUACAUAAUAUCCGUGACCAAUGAUAAUUAGGAUGUUUAAGAGAUUUUAUUUAUAUAUCGUAAAGUAAAAUUACAAUUUCUGAACCAAGUAGGAAAUCAAUGAGAAAAAUGAGUUUAUUUUAGAAAUUAUUUGGGUGAAAAAAAUAAUAUUUUCAAAUAAAAUACAACAUCGGAUAAGCUAUUGAAUUUAAUAUAGAAUUUAUUAAAUUAAAACAUAAUAACAAUUCCUUAUUAAAUAAAGUAAAAACAUUAGAGAGGGUAAGGAGAUUAAGUUGAGAAAUCAAUUAAAGUAAAAUAUGACAACUAUUAGUAAUGGUAAAGUAUCGAAUAAAACGACGAGUUUUAACGUAAAAGUCACAUAAGGUAAGCAUAUUAUUAAUUCUUUUAUUUAAAAUCGCUAUAUUACUAACAACUCAGCAGGAUAUGAGGUAAUGACUCAGCGUAGUAAAUUCAUCUUGAAAUCAAUUCACCAAAAUAAUAGUAUUAGGAAAAGAAUUAAGAAAAUGACGGUAAAGCAAUAAAUGAAUGACAACAACUCAAUCUUUGGAAAGCAGUGAAAAAUCGGAAAUACAAAUUCUCCGAGUCUCGUACGAACGAAUCGAAGCCAAUACAAUACAACAGGGAAUACAAAAUACAUAAAUUAUUGCGGCGCGCAACCCGAUCCCACCGUACAAUACUAUUCACCCUUAUUCCACCGUGUGAAUAUCAAUAGUAAUAAAUAAAUAUAUGUUGCGGCGCACAACCCGAUCCCACCAUAUAAUCAGAGUCAAUAUCAGAAUUCACUCUUAUUUUAUCAUAUCAAUUCACCCGUAUUUCACCUGUUGCGUCGUGCAACCCGAUCCCACCGUAUCAAUAUCAUAAUAUUAAACAAAAUAUGUUGCGGCACGCAACCCGAUCCCACCAUACAAUCUUAAUAUCAUAAUUCACACUUAUUUCACCAUACAAUUCACCCUUAUUUCACCUGUUGCGCCGUGCAACCCGAUCCCCCGUACAAUAAUUUAAAUCAACAGCAAUAAUUAAAUAACUCAAUUUACAAGAAUCUCUACAAUCAAGGGUAUGAGUACACGGCAAUAAAAGAACCACGUAAAAAUCAAAGGAAUACAACAAACUCUACAAAAAUGACAGGAUAGGUAAGGCACACGAUAACUAGGUAUGCAAUCACAACAAUUAUGACAGGUAGUAGAUAAGCACAGAGUAAUAGAAGAAAUUCAACAAUUAAGAAGUAACAAGACAUUAAGGAAGGUAAUAACUUCAACUAAGGCAUAUAAGGGCCAAAUAGCGAGUAAAAGGUACAAUAAGUACAAACAACGUCAAAUAAAGCAUGUAAGAGUAGACUAACAACGCGAUAUCACACGUUAUGACCAUUCAAUUAAAGGCAUGGGAAGAGACUAGACACUCUGAAACGGUCCAUUACCACAUAUGUGUACCCACUCGUCUCUCUGCGUACACGACUUUCACAUAACAAGAUAGUACAAUUAACUCAAUUCCUAAGGGAUAGUUUCUCCCAUACAAAGUUAGACAAAACACUUAUCUCAAAAAAACUAGACCGAUACUCUAAAAUGACCUGCUCGAGUGAAACAACCUCCGGACGGCUCAAAUCUAGCCAAAAUAACAUCAAAUCAUAAAAAAAAACUCAUAUAAAAUAAUUUCGGAUAAUAAAGUUUCAAUCUUUAACAAAAACUAAAAAGUCAACCCCCGAGCCCAUACCUCAAAACCCGAUUAAAUUUAAAAAACCCAAAUAUCCAUUCCGAUACGAGUUCAACCAUACCAAAAUUUCCAAUUUCCGAUAUCAAUUCAUCCUUCAAAUCAUCAUUUUACAUUUUGAAAGAUUUUACAAAAUUUCCCCAAAUUUCCAACUUAAUUCAGUAAUUAAAUGACGCAAAAUAGCCAUGGAUUCAUGAAAUAUAAUAAGAUUCUAGUAGAGAUAAUUAACCCCAAUGAAUUGCUUGAAAAACCCACAAAAUAUCACCCAAAGCCGAGGUCUACAACUUCCAAAAUGAUAAAAAUGGCUAACCCUCGAAAUAGAGUUCUUAUAAUUCUGCCCAGGCAUUCCUCAUACGCGAUCGUGGAACAAGAAUCCCGAUCGCGAAGUACAAAACUGCUGCCCAGCGAAUACAAGCUUCGCGUUCACGGCACAUACCUUGCGAACGCGAUGAACAAUAAUGCAAGGCUAUGCAAACGCAUCCAUUGUUUUGCAAACGCGUCGAGAAAAUACUCCACCAGCCCCAGUUGCCUUACGCGGACGCGUAAACAAGCACGCAAAUGCGAACAACAAACAACUAGAGCUUUGCGAACGCAUGAGCACCAUCGCGUCCGCGAUGAACAAAUCACAGAUCCCCCAGAACCACUUCACGAUUGCGAAGAACAAACGGGCACACCAGAAACCAGCAACUCAAAGCAUGAAAAAAAUGGCCUGUAGCCCAUCCGAAACACACCCGAGGCCCCCGGGACCCCGUCGAAACAAAUCAACAAGUUCCAUAACAUAACCCGGACCUGCCCGAGGUCUCAAAUCAUAUCAAACAACGUCGAAACUACGCAUUGCACCACGAAUCUAACUUAUGAAUUUUCAAAUCUUCUAACUUCCAAAACUCGCGCCGAAACAUAUCAAAUCAACCCGGAAUGACAUCAAAUUUUGCAUGCAAACUCCAAAUGACAUAACGGAGCUAAUCCAACUCUCGGAAUCACUUUCUGACUCCGAUAUCACCAAAUUUCACUCUCGGUCAAAUCUCUCAACCUUCCAAAACUUCAACUUUCCAAUUUCGCCGAAAUGCUUCAAAUUACCCUACAAACCUCCAAAUCCAAACCCAAAAGCACGCCUAAGUCAAAAAUCACCAUCCGGGCCUAUCGGAACCAUUGAAACUCCAAUCCGAGGUCAAAUACUCAAAAGUCAAACCUUGGUCAAUUCUUUCAACUUCGAGCUUCUCAAAUGAGAGUCACUCCCUAAAAUCCUUUUCGAACCUCUCAAAAAGUCGAACCGAUGAUGCACGUAAGUCAUAAUACACUAUGUAAAGCUACUCAUGACCUCAAACUGCCGAACUGGACGCAAUUGCUCAAAACGACCAGUCGGUUCAUUACAUCGUCCCCCACUUAAACUAUGUUCGUCCUCGAACGUGCCAGGAGUCGUUCCAAAGCUAUCAAAUCACUGCAUGAUCUUACCAUACAUACACCCGGGGUGAUUCCACAUCACCCUAAUCCAUGUAGGCCUGAAAACGCAACUUAACUGAAGAUCUCACUUCAUCUUUAGUCCAUAAAUUUAGGACAGAACCCAACCCUCAACAUCUGAAACUCAUCAUAGUACACGAAUCUCGCAUCAGUACACUAUAUAAACCUGAACAGGCUGAAUCGAGCCACAAUUCCAACCCAAGGUACAAUCACAUGAUGUUCCACACAACUCAAAUGCUUGUAGUAAUAACUUCCGACCACCAUAGCUAUCCUAUAUCAAUCUUGGCACUGGUAAUACAUUUCACAUCGAAUAAGACUUUGUUCCGGACCUCCGCAACUCCGCCCAUGAUAAAGAAACAUGCGGAAACUCAUAACCACCCAUGAAAUAAACAAGUCAAGAAGCUCUCUCGUCCGUACACCAAGCAAGCAGCCCAACUGACAACUCAUCAUGGAACCACAUAGAUCAUCACACAACACGGUUCAUACACUAGACCAGCAAUAACUCAGUUAUGCAGCAAAAAUAGAAGGACAACAAGGUACGAGGACUAUCUAACAAGUACCAUAGAUAUAACAACAAAAGUACAGUUUCAUUAACUCAUCCCACAAAGGGAAAACAAUAACACCAAAUAAACACAAGGAAAGGGUAUCCCACAUAACAUCCGUUGCGGCGUGUAGCCUGGUCCCAAAUAUAUUAAUCCACAUAGGGAUACCCAUCGAGUCAAAGUGCUCGGGUUCACUGAUCACAUGAAUGCUGAUAUCAAGCACAAUAGAGUGCACAAGUAUAACUGUGGAAAAUGGAUAGAAAUAAUACAACAUGGAGGAACGCAAGCACAAGUAAGGUGCAAUGAGCAAAUCAACAUCAUGAGGGCAUCUUGCCCACAUUGCCAUAAGGCCCGAACGGAAUUACAACAUGCGUGGAGAAUAAUCAUACAACCUCACAUCCCAUCAUAGCAUAAGAGAGAGGCACAUAACAUAGGCCAGGGGCACAAAUAAUAUCCAUUCUGCCCGGUAACAUAACUGUGAUAAAAUACACAUUCCCAUUGGGCUUUCAAAUAGCCCCCAAACCAAAUCCUAAUCAUUCCCAAACAGGUAAAUAUCCUUCCAAAUGUCUAUAGCAACCUAUCGAUAAUUUAUGCCAUCAGUUAUUCCAUUCUCAACAUUUCUUCACAAUCCACAAAUAAGAAAUAGUCUGCAUAUGAGGACAUCCAGCCCAAAACCUCAUGAAUACCGUAAUUUCCAUACCCGGCCUUAACUAUGCUACUCCAAUGGCUGACAUAUCAGUCACACCCCAUCAUCUUGCGAAAACACCCAUAUAGAUUUUUCGGGCCGCAUAACAAAACUUGAACCUCAGAAGCCUCAAAACCCAGUAAUCACCAUACCACUAGCCAAGCAUCUGCAAACCAAAACACAAGGUGCCUUUCUAAAAUGCACGAUCUUCACAUAUGAUAUCCAAUAAUGCCAACAUUCUAUUAACUUCUGAUAUCCGUCCAAGAGAAGACCGUAAUGUACAACAUAUUCCUUAUGCUCGUAGCAGACAACCGACUCAAGCUGUGGCCGACACUAUCAAGAACUCUCCGAGACCCGCCCGCAUGUAACUAAGCCAUCAUGACCGCAUCUCCCCAACUUAACCGAGUCACACAAAUCGUCCAACCCAAGAGUACUGCCACAAACGCUGGCAGAGGAUUUCCAUCCAAAAAGGACCAAUUAUUUCCAUUGCUAUGCUGACCCAACACCACAGAGCUGACCUAUUUCUUCAGAUACUCCUCGUCUUUCCUCUGGGGUAACACUUCUUCCUGUCGAUACACAACGACCCCAAACAAAACUCAAUGCAGAAAAUCCUAGUACAAACUACGUAGCCCAGAAGCUCAUAAACCACUGUAUUUCCUUAGAAGCACCCCAUAAUUCCCCAACCGAGAUGCCCACCCUGAAUAGACCUUCUUUGAAUCUGAAGUUAUUUCUCGGACCCGCUUGAUACUGAAAUGUAGAUUUAUAAAUGAUGCAUAAAUGCAAAUUUCAGGAAACCUUUCAAUACCGUAUACAUACACCCCAGGCCAAACCUGAUACAACACCUUACCCUGGAAGCUGCUCGUUGAUAGAGGACUCCCCCACUUGGCGCGAAGCCAUAGGACACAACAUCCGAUGAUUCACAAACUCUUGACAGUCAAACUCGCUUCCUCUAGUGCCUCGAAUGAUAAUAUGUACCUUUCACUAAAUAGAAAUCCCAUACGAACCACAUAGUCUCUAAUACCACCAACUAUCCUCAAUCAACAUCCACCUCGUGACCCUACCACGAUCGCGACCACUAGUCAACCAAUUAAACCUUCCCAAGCUUGUACUUAUCAUCCAAAUGCCAGAACCCGCUCCACCCCCACGUGAAAAACUAAAUAGGGUCUCAAUACCUUCGCAUCCUCGGUCUGGACGAUACGUUGAGACAAUAUUUGAGCAUCCCUGACUCCCUCGUAGCCCAUCCGCAACAUCACGAACUGCUGGUGCAUAGCUGGUACCGAGUGCGCAACACCAUACACGAGUGGAUGCAAAGGAACAUAAGACAUAUGCUUCGAUCUGAAUCAAUGUCACACGAUAAGGAUUGAAAGAAGUGGAAUUUCCUAAUAGUUUCUGUAGCCUCUCAAAGAUAAGUACAGACGUCUCUGUACCGAUCCGCAAGACUCUACUAAACCUGCUUAUGACUCGUAGCACCUAUGAACCAAGAGCUCUGAUAUCAACUUAUCACACAUAUCGAAAUGAUAACAAAUUCUACUAAACAGAUGUUGAACAUGAACCCGAAAUUUCUAAAUAAACCAAUAGUCUCAACAUGAUACAAUAUCCCAAAAUCGAUAGUACAAGUCAUAAGCCUUUCUAGGAGUAGUUAUACAUAACGAAUACAUCAUUGUUCCGGAUUAAUAGGAAAUAAUGGAAAUAAUUACAAUAGAAGGUGACUUCGAAACCUACGAAUGUCCAGCAGGUAUACCUUGAAGUCUCCAUCAGCACAAGCAUGAAUCUAAAAACCAACUCGAUCCGAAGUACCUGGUUCUGCACAAAAAUCUGCAGAAGCAUAGCAUGAGUACACCACAGUGGUACCCAGUAAGUUUCAAGCCUAACCUCGGUAGAGUAGUGACGAGGCCAGAUCAAGACACCUACCGAACAUGUUAACCUGUGCAGGAUAUGACAUAAAGCUAACAAGGAAUGAAUAUCAAUGUAAUGCCAAUAGCAGAAAGAAUUCAGAUUACAAACAGUAGUAAAGAUAAGGGGGACACGAAUGGCAAUGAUAAAUAACCAAGUAAUUAAGCAGCAACAUAGUCGGGGUACGGAUGUAGUAUAAAUGUGCUCAAGUAGGGAAAACGAUGUCAACUCAACCAAUCAAAUUAUUUCUAGUACACAAUUUCAACAAUCCCACUUCUCGUAAUCUCAUAUCAGAAAUCACAACUUCCAAUACUUUAACACACAUGGCACCUUGUGCCCACAUUUUCCAUCUCACUUCGCACGGCAAAAUCCACGUGCUACUCGGUAUAUAAUAUUUGUGACCAAUGCUAAUUAGGAUGUUAAAGAGAUUUUAUUUAUAUAUCGUAUAGUAAAAUUACAGUUUCUGAAUUAAGGAGGAAAUCAAUGAGAAAAAUGAGUUUAUUAUAGAAAUUAUUUGGGUGAAGAAAAUUACAUUUUCAAAUAAAAUACAACAUCGGAUAAGCUACUAAAUUUAAUAUAGAAUUUAUUAAAUUAAAACAUAAUAACAAUUCAUUUUUAAGUAAAGUAAACACAUCAGACAUGGUAAGGAGAUUAAGUUGAGAAAUCAAUUAAAGUAAAAUAUGACAACUAUUAGAAAUGGUAAAGUACCGAAUAAAACGACGAGUUUUAACUUAAAAGUCACAUAAGGUAAGCAUGUUAUUACUUCUUUUAUUUAAAAUCGCUAUAUUACUAACAACUCAGCAGGAUAUGAGGUAAUGACUCAGCGUAGUAAAUACAUCUUGAAAUCAAUUCACCAAAUUAAUAGUAUUAGGAAAAGCAUUCAGGAAAUGACGGCAAUACAAUAAAUUAAUGACAACAACUCAAUCUUGGGAAACCAAAGAAAACCGAAAAUACAAAUUCUCUGAGUCUCGUACGAACGAACCGAAGCCUGUACAAUACAACAGGGAAUACAAAACACAUAAACUGUUGCGGUGCGCAACCCGAUCCUACCGUAUAAUACUAUUCAUCCUUAUUCCAACGUGUGAAAAUCAAUAGUUAUAAAUAAAUAUAUGUUGCGGCGCGGAACCCGAUCCCGCCUUAUAAUCAGAGUCAAUAUCAUAAUUCACUCUUAUUUCACCAUAUCAAUUCACUCUUAUUUCACCUGUUGCGACGUGCAACCCGAUCCCACCAUACAAUAUCAAUAUCAUAAUUCACCCUUAUGCUUAUUUCACAUGUUGCGGCAUGCAACCUGAUCCCCCGUACAAUAAAUUAAAUCAACAACAACAAUUCAAUAACUCAAUUUAUAAGAAUUUCUACAAUCAAGGGUAUGAGUACACGACAAAAAAGGAACCACGUAAAAAUCAAAGGAAUAAAACAAACUCUACAAAAAUGACAGGACAGGUAAGGCACGCGAUAACUAGGUAUGCGAUCACAACAAUUAUGACAUGUAGCAGAUAAGGACAGAGUCAUUAAAGAAAUUCAACUAUUAAGAGUUAACAAGAUAAUAAGGAAGGUAAUAACUUCAACUAAGGCUAUAAGGGUCAAAUAUCGAGUAAGAGGUACAAUAAGUGCUAACAGCGUCAAAUAGAACAUGUAAGAGUAGACUAACAACGAGAUAUCACAUGUUAUGACCAUUCAAUUAAAGGCAUGGGAAGAGACUAGAUACUCUGAACCGGUCCAUUACCACAUAUAGACUGUGUACUCACUCGUCACCUUGCGUAUACGACUUUCACAUAACAAGAUAGCACAAUUAACUCAAUUCCUAAGGGGUAGUUUCCCCCCACAUAAAGUUAGACAAGACACUUACCUUAAAGAAGCUAGACCGAUACUCUAAAAUGACCUACUCGAGUGAAAUAAGCUCCGGACGACUCAAAUCUAGCCAAAAUAACUUCAAAUUAUAAAUAAAACUCAUAGAAAAUAAUUCUGGAUAAUAAAGUUUCAAUCUUUAACAAAAACUAAAAAGUCAACCCAAAAGUCACCCCCGAUACCGCAUCUCAAAACCCGAUAAAAUUUAUAAAACCCAAACAUUCAUUCCGAUACGAGUUCAACCAUACCAAAAUUAUCAAAUUCCGACAUCAAUUCGCCUUUCAAAUCAUUAUUUUGCAUUUUGAAUGAUUUUACAAAUUUUCCCCAAAAUUUUUAACUUAAUUCACUAAUUAAAGGAUGAAAAUAACCAUGGAUUCAUGAAAUAUAAUAAGAUUCGGGUAGAGAUAACUUACCCUAAUGAAUUACUUGAAAAACUCACAAAACAUCUCCCAAAACCGAGGUCUACAACUCCCAAAAUGAUAAAAAUGGCUAACCCUCGAAAUAUAGUUCUUAUAUUUCUGCCUAGACAUUCCUCAUACGUGAUCGCGGAACAAGCAUCGCGAUCGCGAAGUACAAAACUGCUGCCCAGGGAAUACAAGCUUCGCGUUCGCGGCAUAUACCUUGCGAACGCGAUGAACAAUAAUGCAAGGCUAUGCGAACGCAUCCAUUUUUUCGCGAACGCGUUGAGGAAAUACUCCACCAGCCCCAGUUGCCUUACGCGGACGCGUAAACAAGCACGCAAAUGCGAACAACAAACAGCUAGAGCUUUGCGAACGCAUGAGCACCAUCGCGUCCGCGAUAAACAAAUCACUGAUCCCCCAGAACCACUUCGCGAUCGCGAAGAACAAACGGGCACACCAGAAACCAGCAAUUCAAAACAUGAAAAAAAUGGCAUGUAGCCCAUCUGAAACACACCCGAGGCCCCCGGGACCCCGUCGAAAUAUAUCAACAAGUUCCAUAACAUAACCCGGACUCGCCCGUGGUCUCAAAUCAUAUCAAACAAUAUCGAAACUAUGAAUCAUACUACGAAUUGAACUUAUGAAUUUUCAAAUCUUCUAACUUCCAAAACUCGCGCCGAAAUAUAUCAAAUCAACCCGGAAUGAUGUCAAAUUUUGCAUGCAAUUUCCAAAUGACAUAACGGAGCUAAUCCAACUAUCGGAAUCGUAUUCCGACCCCGAUAUCAUCAAAAUCCACUCUCGGUCAAACCUCUCUACCUUCCAAAACUUCAACUUUCCAAUUUCGCCGAAAUGCUUCAAAUUACCCUACGAACCUCCAAAUCCAAAUCCGGAUGCAUGCCUAAGACAAAAAUCACCAUUCGGGCCUAUCUGAACCAUCAAAACUCCAAUUCGAGGUCAAGUACUCAAAAGUCAAACCUUGGUUAAUUCUUUCAACUUCGAGCUUCUCAAAUGAGAGUCACUCCUUAAAAUCCUUUCCAAAUUCUCAAAAACCCAAGCCGAUGAUGCACGCAAGUCAUAAUACACUUUGUGAAGCUACUCGUGACCUCAAGCUACCGAACCGGAUGCAAUUGCUCAAAACGACCAUUCGGGUCGUUACAUUUCCUAAUAGCAAGUGUAUGAAUAAACCAAAAAGUUUAAAGGCUAAACUUGAGCAACGUCGAAUAGUACAGUCAAAAAUUUAGUCGUUUUCCCAUAAUAUAAUUUAGACCAUUUAUUAUACUCUCUUAUAUAUUCUUCCUCUUCUAUCAUCCGACAUUGUACACCAAUCUUAGUAGAUCUCAAAAAAAUUGAUUUGCUAUUGUUUGUUGUUUGCAGUAAAUGGGCCGUUUAGUCUAUGAUCAAGCUUCAUCAUGGUUAACGCAGUUUUUCAAAAGGAUGAACCAUAUGUGCAUCUAAUUCAGAGCAUCAAAACAAUGAGUUGUUCAAGCACUAGUGUGGAAGAUGUUAUAUGCUUUCAAAACCUCCUUGCACGCAUGUGCCAUCCAGUUCUAGGAUUUAUAUGUGGAAUUGUGGAUUGAAAAACUUCUCUGCAUUUUUCUUCCACAGAAAUUUGAUUUUGUCCAAAUCAAUUCCACAAAUAGAAUAAUGAGGCUUGAGUUAGUGCAAUUGUUUAAUUGAUAGGAGAAAGGUUAAGUCAUGGUGAAUCUUAGAGUGAAAAAAUAGUUAGAGACAACACACAACUGGCUAGAAGAAAAUAGAAAUUUGUCUUAAGAGAAAGCAUUGUUGGGGUACAUAUUAUUAACUAUGCAUUUAAAUAUAUUAUAUUCUAACACUUGCCAUAGUUAAAAGUCUAAGCAGGAGAUUGUUGGGAUAUAUACUAUUAAUCAUGUGUUUACAUAUAGUAUUUAUUAUAAAAUAAUUAUGUAUUUAAUUAUAAUAAAGAUUUAAAGAGAUCAUGUAUUUGUGUAUAAGUUUUAAUUAUAGUAGAUGAUUUAAUGUAUAGAGUUUAACUUAUUCAUAGAAGAUUAAAUCAUCGGUUCUUAUAAAUUAUAAAGAUUAUGUUCACAAUAUAAUUAUGGAAUGGGACAAGCCAUCAGAAUGAUUGUAAUUAAAGAUUAAAUAUAAUUUAUAUUGAUCAUGAAAAUGCUAUAAUUUUGACUUCUUGUGAUAGUACAUUUUAUAUGUUUUGUACAUAUCAAGUAGAGAUAGGUAUUUUGCACUAACUUAAUAAAAUAAAUUCUCUUGUCCAUCAAGUGUACUUAUACUAUUAAUCUUGAUAUAAUUAGUAUUAGCUAUGUGUAUUAUUUAAUAUUUUGAUUUAUUAAAAGGUGAGAUUCUGUUCUUGUAAUAUGCCUCAUAAGUUGGAUGAUAGAAAUAUAUAUAUUGGCGAAGUAAUAGUUAGUUUAUGAAAUCAUAUCUUGGUCUAGAGAUUGAUGAUACACCUUUACGAAAGCUUAUAAAUUUUCAUGUGUAAAUCUUGCAGGUUAAUUUUAUAUCUGUCACAUGAAAUAAGUUAAGAGAAAAAAAAAAAUAAUUAACGAAUUAAAUAAUCAGUAAUUUAAUUUAUUUGAUUAGUAACUGAAACUUAACAUAUGAAAUUAAAUAAGGUUUAAUAAGAAAAUUUUAAAAUUGAACUGAGAAGUGCAAUAAUAAACUUUUAGUGGAAUAAUUCUCAGUUUAUUAUGGUAGAAUUAAUUUCAACAUUUCAUAUUAAGUAUAUAUAGGAAGCCUCGUCAAUUGAAUUCAGAAGUCCCCGCUAUGCCUGAUUAGAAUUAAAUGAAUUUCGUUUUCUUGACAAAUAUAACGAACCAAUCGACCAUUUUGAUUGUAGAAUCACAUUUCCCUCUCUGAGAUUUUUCAUAGGUUCAUUUGAUGUUUAUUACUUGCGGAUAUGUAUGGAACGGGACCCAAGAAGUUUAGGAGUUAUAUAAAAAAAUUCUUAGUCCCUAACUAAAGGCCUUAAGUAAAGAGAGUUUACCAAAGUCAAUAUUUUUAGCUAAACAAUCUCAGAUUCGUUAUUUGGAUGUUCUGAUAGGUUUGUACGUUAAAUUUGGACUUAUACGUAUGUUCGAUUUGGCGCCCGAGGGAAUCAAAUGCGAUUCGAUCAUAUCUUGUGCAAGAUGGAACUUGAAGAACUUAAGAAAAUUCAUAUUUUAGUUUCGAUCUUGAUUUUUAGUUGUAGUAUUUUCGGAUGUGUUUUAAGCCCUUGGACAAGUUCGUAUAGGGUAUACAAAGUAGUAAGGAUGAUUGGACGGGAUUCCGUGGGGCUCAGGUGAAUUUUAGAGUAAUCAGAUGAUGAUUUUGUAAUGAGAAAACUAUAGAAAAUGGUAGCAGACAUUGACGGCAUCCGCCCUCUGUUGCAGCACCUGGGGAGGGACAGAGCUAGGACACAUCAUGUCCCAACUGGCGCCAAUGCCUAGUCAAAUUUUGCUGAAAUUUCUUUUUUUCCAUAUAUAGCCCCAUUUCGUAUAAACACUUUAUUUUAUCAUAUUGGGAGCUACAUAGUACAAAAUUUGGGGAUUUUUUUAGAGAUUUCAACUACAUAAUUAGGGUAAAAAAAUCUAACCUAGAACUAUGGUUAUAACCUAGACCCCAUGUACUCAACAAGUAUUAUAACUAACCUCGACGAGGUAAUAGAAGCAAAAUUAUAAAUGAUACUCGUCAAUCACCUGUACAUGUUCAUAAAUUCUAAAAAGUAUAGAACAUAAAUAUGAUCAAAAAUUAUGAAAUCAUGGAUAAAAUCGCCUUGGUGCUCACAUAUAUUUUUAACAUAUUCUGCUUAGUUAAUAACCCAGCAUAUAAAGAAGAUAUGCAAAUAAACAGGGUAAAUAGGCAAGGAAAUUGCAAGUAAGUAUGAAAUGGAACAACCAAAUAUCACUCUAUUUCGGCGCGCCCGAUCCAAAAAAAAAUCACAUCACGACUCUCAGGCCCACAUCAGAAUCUCAGUAACCGAACCAAACAAAUAACCAGCUUUCCCAGAGCUCAUAUCAAGCAGAAACUCAUCGGUUUCUCAUAAUCCGUGUGUACACCAUCAAGAAGGCACAUGAGAGGGUGACCCUGGGGAGAUGGAUCCAUAUCCACAUAUUGCACGGCGUAGUCAGGUGCAAAUAGGCCGAUAUGGUCACAUGCUCAAUAUCAUAAUCCGUCCAAAGUGGUCACAAGCUCAAUAUCACAGAUCCGCCUGGCGUGGUCACAAGCUAAGUAUCUCAAUACGUCCGUCGUGGUCACAUGCAUAAUAUAACAAUCCGCUCAUCGUGGUCACUUGCACAAUAUCAUAUUUCGCCCAGCGUGAUCACAUGCACAAUAUCAUAAUCUGCCCAGCGUGGUCACAUGAACAAUAUCAUAAUCCGCCUGGCGUGGUCACAUUCUACCAGUCCAAAUCAUAUCACACAGAAAGCAAAUAUACAAGAAAAUAUGUAUAUGAUCAAUGAAUAUAAAAUUUCAUACUCCUUGACUGGUAUAAGUGACAUGCUAAUGUGUAUGCAUAUGUAAGUGUGAUAUCAUAGCUCAAAUAAGGAAAAUACAUCACAA